AGAGCAAAAUGUAGCCGAAGGACAACUUGCCAGAAAUAUGUUCAUCACAUACUUAUCAAAAAAAAAAUAUGUUCAUCACAUAAUUUAUACGUAUGAUUAACAACGUUCCGGCAAGUCAUCCUUGGCUGCAUUAUACUCUAC